AUUGAACGCUGGCGGCAUGCCUUACACAUGCGAGUCGAACGGUAACAGGUCUUCGGAUGCUGACGAGUGGCGAACGGGUGAGUAAUACAUCGGAACGUGCCUAGUAGUGGGGGAUAACUACUCGAAAGAGUGGCUAAUACCGCAUGAGAUCUACGGAUGAAAGCAGGGGAUCGCAAGACCUUGUGCUACUAGAGCGGCCGAUGGCAGAUUAGGUAGUUGGUGGGAUAAAAGCUUACCAAGCCGACGAUCUGUAGCUGGUCUGAGAGGACGAUCAGCCACACUGGGACGGAGACACGGCCCAGACUCCUACGGGAGGCAGCAGUGGGGAAUUUUGGACAAUGGGCGAAAGCCUGAUCCAGCAAUGCCGCGUGCAGGAUGAAGGCCCUCGGGUUGUAAACUGCUUUUGUACGGAACGAAAAGCCCCGGGUUAAUACCCUGGGGUCAUGACGGUACCGUAAGAAUAAGCACCGGCUAACUACGUGCCAGCCGCCGCGGUAA
rnacentral:rRNA from 1 species